rnacentral:tRNA from 1 species
GGGGUUGUGGCUCAGAGGUAGAGCACUUGCCUAGCAUGCAUAAGGCACUGGGUUCAAUCCCCAGCACCACA